rnacentral:rRNA from 1 species
GAUGAACGCUGGCGGCGUGCUUAACACAUGCAAGUCGAACGAGUGGCGAACGGGUGAGUAACACGUGAGCAAUCUGCCCCUGACUCUGGGAUAAGCGCUGGAAACGGCGUCUAAUACCGAUAUCAGGGAUGAGCUCGCGGCCUAUCAGCUAGUUGGUGAGGUAAUGGUCACCAAGGCGCGACGGGUAGCCGGCCGAGAGGGUGACCGGCCACACUGGGACUGAGACACGGCCCAGACUCCUACGGGAGGCAGCAGUGGGGAUAUUGCACAUGGGCGCAAGCCUGAUGCAGCAACGCCGCGUGAGGGAGACGGCCUUCGGGUUGUAAACCUCUUUUAGCAGGGAAGCGGUACCUGCAGAAAAAGCACCGCUAACUACGUGCCAGCAGCCGCGGUAAUACGUAGGGUGCAAGCGUUAUCCGGAAUUAUUGGGCGUAAAGAGCUCGUAGGCGGUUUGUCGCGUCUGCUGUAAACUGGGGGCUCAACCCCCAGCCUGCAGUGGGUACGGGCAGACUAGAGUGCGGUAGGGGAGAUUGGAAUUCCUGGUUAGCGUGGAAUGGCAAUAUC